rnacentral:rRNA from 1 species
GAUGAACGCUGGCGGCGUGGAUAAGGCAUGCAAGUCACGGGGGCCGCAAGGCAACCGGCAGACGAGGUAGUAAUAAAUAGGUACGUACCAAAGAGUUGGGCAUAGCUAUCCGAAAGGGUAGGUAAUUCCCAAUAGUCCCUUGACGCAAGUCUAUGGGUAAAGGAGCAAUCCGCUCUAUGAACGGCCUAUUCGGUAUCAGCUAGUUGGUGAGGUAAAAGCUCACCAAGGCUAUGACGCCUAGGGGACCUGAGAGGGUGACCCCCACCGAUGGGACUGAGACACGGCCCAUACACCUACGGGUGGCUGCAGUCGAGAAUUUUCCGCAAUGGACGAAAGUCUGACGGAGCGACGCCGCGUGGAGGAUGAAGUUCUUCGGAAUGUAAACUCCUUUUGCCAGGGAAAAAGUUAUUGAUUGUACCUGGAGAAUAAGAAGUUGCUAAACUCGUG